GUGGGGAAUUUUGGACAAUGGGGGCAACCCUGAUCCAGCCAUGCCGCGUGCGGGAAGAAGGCCUUCGGGUUGUAAACCGCUUUUGUCAGGGAAGAAAUCCUUUGGGUUAAUACCUCGGAGGGAUGACGGUACCUGAAGAAUAAGCACCGGCUAACUACGUGCCAGCAGCCGCGGUAAUACGUAGGGUGCGAGCGUUAAUCGGAAUUACUGGGCGUAAAGCGUGCGCAGGCGGUUUUGUAAGAUCGAUGUGAAAUCCCCGGGCUCAACCUGGGAACUGCAUUGGUGACUGCAAGGCUGGAGUGCGGCAGAGGGGGAUGGAAUUCCGCGUGUAGCAGUGAAAUGCGUAGAUAUGCGGAGGAACACCGAUGGCGAAGGCAGUCCCCUGGGCCUGUACUGACGCUCAUGCACGAAAGCGUGGGGAGCAAACAGGAUUAGAUACCCCAGUAGUCC
rnacentral:rRNA from 1 species